AAGGAUGCCCAUUCCACUCUUAAUGAAAAUAAACUCUUAAAAAGUUAGGCCACAUGCCAGAUCCCAUCUGAUCUCAGAAGCUAAGCAGGAUCGGGCCUGGUUAGUACUUGGCUGGGAGACUACCUAGGAAUACCAAAUGCUGUAGGUG
rnacentral:rRNA from 1 species